rnacentral:rRNA from 1 species
UACGUAGGGAGCAAGCGUUGUCCGGAAUCAUUGGGCGUAAAGCGCGCGUAGGCGGCCCCGUAAGUCCGCUGUGAAAGUCAAAGGCUCAACCUUUGAAAGCCGGUGGGUACUGUGGGGCUAGAGUCCGGAAGAGGCGAGUGGAAUUCCUGGUGUAGCGGUGGAAUGCGCAGAUAUCAGGAGGAACACCAAUAGCGAAGGCAGCUCGCUGGGACGGUACUGACGCUAAGGCGCGAAAGCGUGGGGAGCGAACAGG